rnacentral:rRNA from 1 species
ACUGUACGGGAGGCAGCAGUGGGGAAUUUUGGACAAUGGGCGCAAGCCUGAUCCAGCCAUGCCGCGUGUCUGAAGAAGGCCUUCGGGUUGUAAAGUUCUUUCGCCAGUGAAGCAGGCCUGCCUCGUUUGUGGGUGGGUUGACGGUAGCUGGAUAAGAAGCGCCGGCUAACUACGUGCCAGCAGCCGCGGUAAUCAGU